rnacentral:hammerhead_ribozyme from 1 species
AUCCAUCUGACGAGUCCCAAAUAGAACCAAACACAUGUUCCUGCAU